GACGAACGCUGGCGGCGUGCUUAACACAUGCAAGUCGAACGGAAAGGCCCUGCUUUUGUGGGGUGCUCGAGUGGCGAACGGGUGAGUAACACGUGAGUAACCUGCCCUUGACUUUGGGAUAACUUCAGGAAGCUGGGGCUAAUACCGGAUAGGAGCUCCUGCUGCAUGGUGGGGGUUGGAAAGUUUCGGCGGUUGGGGAUGGACUCGCGGCUUAUCAGCUUGUUGGUGGGGUAGUGGCUUACCAAGGCUUUGACGGGUAGCCGGCCUGAGAGGGUGACCGGCCACAUUGGGACUGAGAUACGGCCCAGACUCCUACGGGAGGCAGCAGUGGGGAAUAUUGCACAUUGGGCGGAAGCCUGAUGCAGCAACGCCGCGUGCGGGAUGACGGCCUUCGGGUUGUAAACCGCUUUCGCCUGUGACGAAGCGUGAGUGACGGUAAUGGGUAAAGAAGCACCGGCUAACUACGUG
rnacentral:rRNA from 1 species